AGCAGCCGCGGUAAUUCCAGCUCCAAUAGCGUAUAUUAAAGUUGUUGCAGUUAAAAAGCUCGUAGUUGAAUUUCGGAAUUUGUUAAUUGGUCGGGCUUCACUGUCCGUACUGAUUUAAUGAAUUCCUACCUUCUGAAUAACCAGCAUGCUAUUAAGUUAGUGCGUUGGGGAAGCAGAUCUAUUACCUUGAAAAAAUUGAGUGCUUAAAGCAGGCUAGUGCUUGAAUAGAUUAGCAUGGAAUAAUAAAAUAGGACGGCAUGGUUCUAUUUUGUUGGUUUCUAGGAUCACCGGUAAUGAUUAAUAGGGAUAGUUGGGGGCAUUAGUAUUCAAUUGUCAGAGGUGAAAUUCUUGGAUUUAUUGAAGACUAACUUCUGCGGAAGCAUUUGCCAAGGAUGUUUUCAUUAAUCAAGAACGAAAGUUAGGGGAUCGAAGACGAUCAGAUACCGUCGUAGUCUUAACCAUAAACUAUGCCGUACUAGGAAUCGGACGAUGUUAAUUUUUUAAUGACUCGUUCGGCACCUUAAC
rnacentral:rRNA from 1 species